AGCACUUUUAUUUAGCUUUUAUACUUUCGUAUUUUCAUAGUUUUUUAUUAGUCAACAUAUCCUAAAACAAUGAAUAUGUUUACUAUGAGCCAUAUAUAAAGCAACAUUUUUUUUAGGACAGCGAUUAUGUUUUUAAAGUUCUUGUCCCAGAGACAAUCAUUUACCUUUUUGCUAAGGUUGAGCAAAUAUCAAGAAUAAAAAUACUGAUAAGUCACUCUCACAUAUGGUGUUAGAAAAACUAAAAAAAUCACAGAUAGAAACUGGAGACCCAACCAAAAACUUUAACUAAUUUAGAUAUGUCUAAGG